GGGGCGGGGAGGCCCGGCCUGCUCCGAGCGAAGGGGCAGGGGGUGGAAGCAGAGGAGCCCAGAGGAAUGGGGCUGGGAGGGACCCCCCAGAAGCAACCCCUGGCCCCAGGCAGGAGCAGCCCUGUGCAAACCAGCCCAGGCAAACCCAGCCUCUGAACUCUUCAUAAAACUAUCCUCAACUCUGACACAGCCCCAGGCUUCGCCCCGCAAACCGCGCCCCGGGAAAGCAGGAGGGACCAACGUCCUGCUGCCACACAAGGGGCUCGUGGAUGCUGGAGAGACCCCGGGUCAGGCUGUGCCCCCGCUGCAGAGGAAGGCAAAACCCCCCAGUCCGGGCCAUCCCAAAUGGCGACGAGGCAGUCGCUGGGGAUUGAUGACUGACCAGGCUCCAGCACUGAGGGUCCAGGAUGUUGUGAUGCAGGGGCCGUGCCCCUCGCUCCCUGCUCCAGAGCCUCUGAUGCCAUUUUGCUCCAAGCACGUGUCCAACCCUCUGUGAAUUUGGCUGAGCUCUCAGCUCUCGUCACGUCUGGUGGCAACACGCUCUACGCUUUAAUGCUGCGCUGGGUGACACGAAAGACUCAGACUCAUAGCAAAUGAUGAUGGAAGGGACAUCAGGAGGGCACAUCUAGUCCAACCCCUGCUCCAAGCAGGACCAGCCCCAACUACAUCAUCCUGGCCAAGGUUUUGUCUACCCGGGUCUUAAACACCUCCAAGGAUGGAGACUCCACCACCUCUCUAGGUAACUCAUUCCAGUGCUUCACCACCCUCCUCGUGAGAAAGUUUUUCCUAAUAUCCAACCUCAACUUCCCUUCCUGCAACCUGGGCCCAUUGCUCCUUGUUCUGUCAAUCCGUACUGACUUUCUCCCCACCAUUUAGUAUUUUGUAAACUUUUCUCAUCUCCCCCUGCAAACAUCUCUUCUCUGCACUGA